rnacentral:SRP_RNA from 1 species
AGUUAGGGAGCGGCAAAGGUAUGUUCGGUCAACCCCGCCAGGUCCGGAAGGAAGCAACGGCAGCUGUUACUGCUUUGUGCUGUUUUCCUAACUACU